rnacentral:rRNA from 1 species
CAAGGAAUUUUCCGCAAUGGGCGCAAGCCUGACGGAGCAACGCCGCGUGGGGGAUGACGCUUUUCGGAGUGUAAACCUCUUUUCUCAGGGAUGAAAACAAUGACAGUACCUGAGGAAUAAGGACCGGCUAACUACGUGCCAGCAGCCGCGGUAAUACGUAGGGUCCGAGCGUUGUCCGGAGUUACUGGGCGUAAAGCGCGCGCAGGUGGCUCGAUAAGACUGGCGUGAAAGCCCCCGGCUCAACCGGGGAGGGUCGUUGGUGACUGUCGAGCUUGAGGGCAGCAGGGGCAGGUGGAAUUCCCGGUGUAGUGGUGAAAUGCGUAGAGAUCGGGAGGAACACCCGUGGCGAAGGCGGCCUGCUGGGCUGACCCUGACACUGAGGCGCGAAGGCGUGGGGAGCGAACGG